UUGUUAGAAAAUGAAAAAUCUGAGGCAAAAUAAAGAAAUCCUAGAUCCAAUAUUUCUUGCUCUAGGUUGCCAUUCACAAUGCAACAUAUGUAACAUUUUGGGGUUUUAGGUUAUUUUUCUCCCACAGGCAAAAGAAGUAUUAGACACAAUAUUAAAUGGCCUUUUCAAAGACAUACAGAACAUGCAGCAAAAUACUUCUGAAGCUAAGGUCCUUUUAAGGUAAAAUCUCUAGAUCCUUAUUUAAUUAAAAGCCAAUUAAGACUAGAUACACAUUAGACAACUAAUUUUAGAAGCAUUAUAGAAUAAGCAAUUUUUAAUCUCUAUGGAUAACAGCCAAUAGUAUACUAAUAUUAAUAUACCAAAAAUAAUAUACUCUUACAUAUACUUUUUAGUAAUAUGCACUUAAUUAUAAAAAUGGGUGGAAUUAUGCAAUAUGAAUAGUUUCAUGUUAUUUUAUGAAAAUUAUAUAAAAGCAUUAAAAUAGUCUUAAAAUUCUGAAACUUAUCAAUAUGCCAUUAAAAAUAAUCUCUACACUCACAGCUAAUUCUAUUAUCUAAUACUAUGAACAAAUUUCUUGUAGUUAUCAUUAGGUUUUGGGUCUUCUUAUUGUUCCUAUUAAGUAACUUUAGACACAUGUUGGAGCCAAGGGUGAAAGUUCAGACAGCAGAAAAAUUUUGCUGCACACUGCUACUAGAACAAAAGACAAAGAGCAUGGUUUUUCAAUGGGUAACUCAAAUCACUCCACUUCUCAAAGACAUCCAAAAGUUUUCCAAUCUCUGUGUAGCAUAAAAUACCAUAUUUCAUUAUGCUGCUUUCAAGAAUUGCCAUGAUUGCACCAGUAACUUUUUGUGUUUUUUUGCAAAUAAAACACAGCUUAGGGGCACCUGAGUGGCUCAGUUGGUUAAGCAUCUGCCUUUGGCUCAGGUCAUGAUCUUGGGGUUCUGGCAUCCAGCCCCACAUCAUUGGGCUCCCUGCUUCUCCCCCUGCCUUUCUGCCCUCCCAACCCCAACCAUGUAUGCUCUCUCUCAAAUAAAUGAAUAAAAUCUUAAAACACACACACACACACCUUACUUCUUACAUGUCCAUCACAGGUUGGCAUGGGGCUCUGUUCUUCACAGUCUCCUAGGAACUAGGUGGAAUAAAAAUUUUUAAAAACUCACCAACCCAGAAUCCUUUAUCCAGAGAAAAUACCCUUUAACAACUUUUGCAAUGACUAGGGCAGAGAAAAGGGGGUGGGUAGCUUUUUCUAAAUUAUCCCCAAUUUUCCUAGUUGAGAAUCUAGUGGGGUUCCUGGAAGAAAAGCCUGAAACCGUGUGAGCCUCCUUCCCCAAUUAUGACUGCAGCCCCAAGGAGGAGCACUUAUUCAUGCUAACCCACACUGAGCCUUCAGUAAUUCAUGAGAAUUUCUAGUCCAAUGUUCCUUGCAGGCCUGUAUGGCCUCUGGAGGCUUCUGCUGCAGGUGAGCAACUGCCUUCAGUCUGUAUCUCCCUGAAGGAUAGAAGUUUGACCUUCAAAUUCAGUUCACUGAUGGGUCCCAUAAAGUCAUUGAUACUUAGUUUGUCAAGCUUUUUCUUGUCUAAGGACAAAAGUAAUGACUCCUCAGGUUCUUUACAUAUCUGAGUUGAAACUGAAAGUCUUUCUGUUACAGCUGGUACAUUUUUCAAAGAACUAUUUUACAUCUAUUAUAAAAAUAAUACAGUUGGAUAUCAUUGAAAGUCCCCCUUUUCCAGGCCCUUGAAGUGUCCCUACCUGGUGGUUAUCAAUAUGGUGUAAAUCCAUCUAAACUGGACUUGAACUUCAUAAUAUUGGAGAAUUUCAAGGCUCAGUCCUCAGGCCUCUUUUCUUCCCCAUUUACCUUCCAUCCCUCAAUGAUCUCAUUCAGGCCUACAGCCUUAAAUAUUUUUAUUUAUGCUGACAACUUUCAAAUUUUUAUCCCCAGUCUAGACUUCUCUCUCAAAUUCGGACUCAUAUAUCCAACUGGUAACUUGCCUCUCCACUUGGCUAAUGGAAUUCUCACACUUUAAUUUUACCAUCUGAUCAUGUCCCACCCCCAGAAACGUCCUUUCAAAUGAAAGUCCAUCUUUCCAGUUACUCAGGCUAAAUGCCUUGGUAUUAUUCUUAACAAUUCCCUUUCCUUUACACUGUACAUUCAAUCUCUCAAAAAUCAGGUUAGCUCUACUUUCAAAAGAAAUGUAGAAUCUGACCACUUCUUCCAAUUUCCACUGCUAACACCCAAGUCUGAGUUACCAUCAUCUCCUGCCUAGAUUGGUUCAAUAGUCUCUUAAUAGAUCUCUUUGCUUCUAUUUAUGUUUCCUCUCUCCCUCUACAACUUGGAUAUUCCUUAACACACCAGAGUGAUACAUUUAAAAUAUAGGUUGAUCAAGUUACUCUUCAGCUCAAACUUCUGCAAUGACUAUUUUACCACAUGUACAAGCCAAAUCCUAUCUUUUGGCUGUUCAGUAAAAUGGCCACUAGCCACCUGUGGGCUAAGACUUAAAACGUGGCUAGUCCAAAUUGAGGUGUGCUUUAGGUAAGAAAUAUGCACCAUAUUGCAAAGCUUUAGUACAGAAUAUUAAAUAUCACAUUAAUAUAAUGAUUACAUAUUAAAAUAAUAUUUUAAAAAAUACUGUCCUAAAUACAAUAUAUUACUAUUACUAUCAAUUUCAUGUUUCUUUUCCCUUUUUUUUUCAACAGGACCACUGAAAACUUUAAAUUGUAUCCAAAGUUUCCAUUGUAUUUGUUUUGAACAGUCCUACUCUAUAUAAUCCAGACUCCAAUUUAACUUCCCAACCUCCUUUCAUCUAUUUUUCCCCUCACUUCCCCCACACUGACUGUACCAGGUUUCUGAGUGUUCUUUGAACACCAGGCAUGUUUCCACCUUAAGGCAUGUGUUUUAGCUGUUGCUCUUCCCUCUACGCAGAGCACACUUUCCUCUUAGUGUUUUCAGCUUUUCAGGUCUUUGUUCAUUUCCCACCCUCUCCAUGAGGAGACUCCAAGACUACACUAUUUAAAAUUACCUCUACCAUUCCCAUAAGGAUACCAAAUCUCAUUUAUUGCUUUUUCCUUUUUUCCCAUGCAUUAUCACCUCCUAAGAUAUUAAAUUAUUUACUUAUUCAUGAUAUGUAUUUUUUUGUUGUCUGUCUCCCUUCCAAAAUGCAAGGCUCACAAGGGCAGGGAUCUUU
rnacentral:lncRNA from 1 species